rnacentral:rRNA from 1 species
UACGUAGGGUGCAAGCGUUAAUCGGAAUUACUGGGCGUAAAGCGUGCGCAGGCGGCUAUGCAAGACAGAUGUGAAAUCCCCGGGCUCAACCUGGGAACUGCGUUUGUGACCGCAUGGCUAGAGUACGGUAGAGGGGGGAUGGAAUUCCGCGUGUAGCAGUGAAAUGCGUAGAUAUGCGGAGGAACACCGAUGGCGAAGGCAAUCCCCCUGGACCUGUACUGACGCUCAUGCACGAAAGCGUGGGGGAGCAAA